CCCCGCUCUCCGCCUUCCCCGGGAUUCCGUGCUGUGCGGGCCGGGCGCUGGCGUUGGAUUGAGGUGAGACGUGACCCUCACCUUCUGCUGUGAUUGUGAAGCCCCCCCAGCCACGUGGAACUUUCUGUGGGUUGACUGGGCAUUCUUCUGCGUCACAAGGUGUGGCUGGGCACUGAAACAGCUGAAGUCACCCGGGAGCUGACUGGGUUGGACUGUCCAGGAUGGUUCACUCCAGCCAACAGUGGAUGCUCAACUGGGGCUGUCAACUGGAGCCCCCAUGGGUAACAUCUCCCAGCAUGGCAGCUCGGUUCCAAAAGGGAGUGCCCCAUGAGAAUCAGGAAGCAGCUGCAAGGUUUCUCAUGGUUUUGCCUUACCAGACACCCAGAGUUGUUUCAGCCUCAUUCUGUUUGUCAACAGGUCACAGUUUCAAGGAGUAGGGGAACUAGACUCCAGCUCUUGAUGAAAGCAGUGAUAAGGAAUCUGCAGUUUUUGUUAAUCUCCUGCAGCUUUCCUGGUGUUUUUUCCAUAUACUGACUAUAUAAUGGUAUUUGUCACCUUUUGCCAAGUGCCACGUAUUACAAUUAAGUGUCUCUGUAUCUCACAGGCUAGAUCUUCAACUUCUGGUGAGAGAUUGCAUUUUUUUUUUUUUUUUUUUUUUUUUUUGAGACGGAGUCCUGCUCUGUCACCCAGGCUAGAGUGCAGCGAUCUUGGCUCACUGCAACCUCUGCCUCCCGGGUUCAAGCGAUUCUCCUGCCUCAGCCUCUCGGAUAACUGGGAUUACAGGUGCCUGCCAUGCCCAGCUAAUUUUCGUAUUUUUAGUAGAGACAGGGUUUCACCAUCUUGGCCAGGCUGGUCUCAAACUCCUGACCUCAUGAUCCACCCACCUCAGCCUCCCAAAGUGCUGGGAUUACAGGCAUGAGCCACCACGCCCGGCCGAGAGAUUGCAUUUUAUUUAACCCAAUUCUUUCAGUGACAUAGCUAUAAUAACAAUAAACAUGUAUUAAGUUCCUCUACCAUGUGUUUGAUCCCAUCUAAUUGAACACAUGAUCUUAUCUCAUCCCUACCCUGAUAGAAUAGACGUCUCAUUCUCCAGAUUGGGAACUGAGGCACAGAGAGAUUCAGCUUUGCCCAAAACCACAUAAUGGACAAGUGGCAGAGCCAGGAUUUGAACCACUUAAGAGCCUGUGUUUUUAUUCUCUCUCUUCUAGUGCCAUCUCACAGUCUUGGCACCAUCUUAGUAGCUUCAGGCUGCUAUAAAAAGUUACCAUAGGCUGGAUGGCUUAAGCAACAGACAUUUAUUUCUCACACUUAUGGAGGCUGGGAAGUUCAGGAUCCAGGUGGAGGCCGACCCCAUGUCCUUCUGGGAGGUCCAGCUGCUCCUGGACCAGACAGUGCCAACACAAUACUUCUCACUGUGUUAUGAUUGCCUACAGCAGGUGAGGACCUGCUUCCUAUUUUCCAGAUGGCCGUCUUCUCAUUGUAUCUUAACAUGGUGGAAGGAGAGUGAGAAAGCUCGCUUGUGUCUCUUUUUAUAAGGGCACUAAUCCAGACACGGAGGGCUCACCUUUACAACAGCUAAACCUGAUCACCCCCCAGAGGCCCCAUCUCCAAAUACCAUCACACUGGGGAUUGUGCUUUGACAUAUGAAUGUGGGAGGACACGAGCAUUCAGUCCAUAGCAGGCACCAAGGCACCAAGUCAAUCUGCACAACUGUGUCGCUGGGCAGAAGAACAAAAGGGAAGGAAGAAGAAAGAACGCAGUACAGAAAGUGAGUGGUGGUACCACAAAGGGUCAUCAGCAAGUGCUGAUGGUGGCUCUGGUCAACACAUUCCAGGCAUCCUUGGGUAGCCUGAUAAAUGGAGUGCAGAGUGUUCGGUAGCACUGCAAGGAGUGGGAGUAUUUAUUGGGUCUGAGUGCCUGAUGCGAAACUUUCCUCCAAAAUUCCAAUUUUCUUUCUGCCAAGAUAAGUGAUGGAGGUUUAUGGUUCACGUUGUAGCACAUCCACCCAGGCCAAGGACCUACAACUCUGAAUUUCUGGCCUGCCUCCUUCCAGCUAGAAGUGAAUCUAGAUUUACAUGCCAUCAGGAACAAGCACCGUCUUCCUGUUCUGCGAGUUCCUAGUUGUAGAAGGUACUGCUUUCAUCCUGAGAAUAUCAAUCUACAUGCACAAGGUCGCUCUCUGUGGAGGAGUAGGUACUUAAACCUAAGAUAAGUGGAAACUUUAUAUCCAAGGAGACAGAAAAUAAAAUUUCAGGAUGUUUUAUAUUAAACAACUUCUUAUACUUCUGUCCUUUUAUGAACAUAAGGUCAUCAGUAGGCCAAAAGUCUGAAAAACAGUCUCAGUUCCUCAGUGUGAAUGCAAACCAUUAGUGCAAAAAAAUAAAGAAAGAAAUAAAAUUAAAAAAUGAAAGCACAGAUACUUUCUAGCCUUGCUGUCUUAUAGCCCCAUAUUCAUAGGACUGACCAUUCCCCAUCUAUACCCACACCAUUCCCAAAGGACACUAUCUGUGAAUGGUGGCCACGCGUUUGGAUGUUACAGAGCAAGCACGUUCUUCAGUACUUCACACACACAAUUAUGCAGCCUGUGUGC